rnacentral:rRNA from 1 species
GACGAACGCUGGCGGAGUGCUUAACACAUGCAAGUCGUACGGAAAGGUCUCUUUCGGGGGGCACUCGAAUGGCGACCGGGUGAGUAACACGAGAGUAACCUGCCUUCGAUCUUGGGAUAACUUCAGGAAACUGGGGCUAAUACCGGAUAGGUGCUCCUGCCGCAUGGCGGGGGUUGGAAAGAUUCGGCGAUGGGGGAUGGCCUCGCGGCUUAUCAGCUUGUUGGUGGGGUAGUGGCUUACCAAGGAAUUGACGGGUAGCCGGCGGGAGGGGGUGACCGACGGCAACAAGAGUAAGAAGCGACCCAGCCUCCUACGGGGGGCGGCAGUAGUGAGUAAUACAGGAUGAGGGGAAGCCUGAUGCUGCAACGACGUGUGCGGGAUGAUGACCGUCUGGGUGUAAUCCACUUUCGCUCGUAGGGAAGCAUUGUGUGACGGUAGUGGGUAAAGAAGCGCCGGCUAACUACGUG